rnacentral:rRNA from 1 species
UUCGGCGAUAAUAGCAUAGGUGUUACACCCGAUCCCAUUCCGAACUCGGAAGUUAAGCCCUAUAGCGCCAAUGGUACUGCGCGGGAAACCAGCGUGGGAGAGUAGGUCAUCGCCGGGA